rnacentral:lncRNA from 1 species
CAGAGUUUAUCCGGUUAAUGCAAAAGGAAACACCUUGUCUAUUUCAAGGCGUGUGUUAUGUUAUAAGUACUUCACAUGAGUUGCCAAAAGUAGAUCAAAAAGAAUAAUAAAAAGGGGCUAUAGGUGGUCUAGCUUCUCCCUGAUAUUAAAUUGACAUUAGUGUACAUUUGAGGAUUAGAGCGCUGGUCUGUUUGUGUUAAAGACUCGGUGAAGGCGAGUAAAGGUUGCAACAACAAACUCUGCUUCAUCUCUUCCAACAAAGUCUUACUUGUGUCCAUACCCGCAAGGUAUCCUCCAUGCACAUAUCCACUGAACUUUUCACUUGUGUGUUCUCCUGUGAAUAAUAUCCUUCCAAAUGGAGCCUGAUGAAUCACAAAAACCAAAUCAUAAAUUCCCACAUAAGUGCUAAAAACAACAAAAGGUGCUGUAAAAAUACCUUGACAUUUCGUUGAAGCUGAUUAUCAGAUAUCAUAGGGUAAUUGCUGUAGCUACCGCGCUGAAACCGGUUGUUCCACCAUCUAGGGACAAGAAUAUCAGUUGCGUAAGGAAUAGUGGGACCAAACAUGUCCCUCAGAACACUCAUCGCCUCUUUCAGUGUCUCCUCGUCUGAUUGGGACUCCACGCGCUUUGACUGCUCGUUGGUCAACGUCACGACCAGAAUGUUAGACCCCGGGUACGCAUUUUCCAUGUGCUGAUUUAAAACAGGAGCAACAACAGUUAGAUUUACAGACUGCAAGCUGGAGAGUAGAGAGCAAGCAAACUUGUAAUAAUAUAACAAGCUACAUGGACCAUGCAGCUGGUUAGACACUCGAGAUAAUUUAAAGCAAUGAUGAUAAUAAUCAAAGGGACCCCCCAGGUGAUUAAUAAUAAGAUUAGUAGGGAGUGCAUGUGCCACGUUUCUCACGUAUGUGGACUGAAUAAAAAGAUGCAUUGAGAUUAACAAACUACUGAUAAUAUUUUAAUUUUUUUAAGGUAAUCAACCUGCCAAAAGGUGAAGUAGCCGCGUUGUUCGUGCGCAUAGAUGAAAAACUCUUGGCCAGGACCACAUGGCCAGAAACAAUGAGGGAAUUUGAGGAAGAUCUUGGUGUACACCAUCACAUCACAUUUUUGUAUAGCUUCAGUUUUCCAUUUCUGUCACCAAUAAUAGUACUGGUUAGUAAGAUCACUUGAAUAAAGAUAAAAAGAAAAAUAUUCUGACUUCUGAGACAAAGUUUAACAUGCAUGUUUGUUAAUUGUUUAUGUUAUCUUAAAGGACUCCUUCUUGAAUUAUGUGGAUCAACCAUGCAUAACCAACCCAUUGUAUUUGAUGUAUGGUUUUGAUAAAAAUAAAAAAAAAUGAAUUCUGACUUUCUUUACCUAAUGGCUAACGCAAUUUUAUAUUUCCUAGGUUCACGUACAUUGAAUGAUUAAAAAACCUCCCCCUUUUUGUGUUAUCUUUAGCGUUAAAUAAGCAUAAAAGAUAAGACAAAUAAGUAGUUGAUUAUAAACUAGUAAUAAUAGGAGAAGAGGAGAAAGUAAGCUAACCGGUAAAGGAGGCUGGAAUGAGAUAAGAUUGGAUUGGAGAACACCAAUACUAGCAGACACGAUCACAUAAUUGGCCUCGUAUUCGGAACCAUCCUCUGUUUUCACCACAACACCAUUCCUCGACUGUUGCACCUCCCUAACCACCUGCCAUUAAUUCACCACUAAUAUAAGAUUACUAAUACUACUAUAGCAAUAGGUGCCAAAAACUAAGCCAGCUGGUUUCUGAGAGGCAAUAAAUAAAAACAAUGACCCCACACAACUUGAAAUCAAUUUUCACUACAAAACAAAUGCUGAGACUGAAGAGAAACCUAGCAGCUGUGGUUUAGUUGUCAAACUUAGCAGGAAAAUGCAAAUCAACAACAGCUAAAAGGCAAAAAGGAGCUUUUCCAAAAUAACGUCAUAAUAUACUCCUUUUAACUCAAGUAAAAGAGGUCCAUCAAAACCUCAUCGUUUAACAACAGUCGAAAGAUAUUUUUUGUGCACAGGUGUUGAAGAAGAAAUAGUUUAAAAAAAAUCUACAGUACCUUGUUUAGUUUGAGGCGGUUGUCCAAAAUGUUACCAUCUGAGGUAUAGAGAAAGCCCUCGGCCAUUUUGUAAAGCAAUGAUUCGUAACCUCUUUCAUCAGCAACCAAAUAUUCCCUUUCACCGAAGUCCACGUAAGUCGAUAUUGGCUCAACCUCUGAACAACACGGUAACGAAUACAAUGUCAAGAAAUUGCUAGGCGGUAAUUAUACGUUUUGUUGAUUAGACGGACUUUUUUUUUUUUAAUGUUUAGAUCGAUUUUUCAAAAAUCCGUUAAAAAAAUUAUUUCCUUUAAAUCCGAUUUACCGUGUCAGUACUAUUAGAUGUAAUGAUGAAAAACACUGUUAUAAAACAGACAAAAUAUUAGAUGUAAUGAUUACCUGCCAUCUCGAAAUCAUGCAGGAUGAAGUCAAUAGCGAGUUCUAUUUUGUCUGAUGUUGUCACAUAUAGUUCAAGUAUGAGUCUCGUAUUGUUGAUAGAAGAUUCUUCCAGAGUUAUUUUGAAGGACAACAAUAUGGUUUAAGGAAGCUAAGUAUACAAAUUUAUUGAAAAGAUUGGAAAUAUAUUGAGUUUUAAUAAAUAUAAAUUGAUAAUUUUAGAACCCAGAACCCAAUUAAUAUCUUAAACCAAAACAAUUUUGGAUUCAAACAUGUAACUAAACCUGAACAGAACCCGGCCCAAACUUUUAUAAUAACGGAAUGAGGCUAAAACUCAUGAACCUGAAAUCCGACUGGGACCCCGAUUGUCCAGCCUUGGAUAACCUUCUUGUCCAUUUUAUUUGGUCAUGAGUUUUAUAGAGGCCAUACUGGUGCAGAGCAUAUGACUUCCCUUCUUCAUAUUAUAAAAAGAAUUCAGCCCAGUCUUGUGACCUAUAUUAUAAAACGAAUUGGGCCUAAUAAGAAAUAUGGGCCAUUUGUUUUAUAAUAUGGAAAGCCCGAAUCCCAUACUUCAAGGCUUUGCUUAUUUGUCUUGGCUAAAGCAUCAAUUUCAUGGGUUGGUUUUAACUUUUAAGAGAAGGAUGAUGCGAACUAGCAUCUUGCAGUUCUGGUGAGCAGCGUAGAAACUGGUUAUGAGCCACUUGUAAUCUGAUUGGUGUUUUUGGAAAAGACUCCAUAUCCCAUCUGUACUACUUCCCAUCUUUGAUCAUUAUGUUACAUGAAAAUUGUACAACUUGUAAAUAGACCACUAACAAAAUAAGGAUGGAUGUUAAGUUAAAAUGGUAAAAAUCACUUUAUCCUAAAUGUCCUUGCGACAACCCUAUGGAGAAAGAAAUGAGAUACUGUGUGGGGCCAGUAUCAUAAUUGAUAAGUUGACCCAAUCUGUCAAACAUUUUUCACACAUAUCAUCAUCAUGUUAAAUUUUCUUCAUCUAAUAGUCACACUCACACCAAAUGAUUCCCUACCAAACAAGAAAAAAGAACAAUCGUCAAGUAAUCUGACAAGGGGCAUUACUUGUAAAUUGUAACUCUCUACAUACUCGUAACGACCGGACGAUUCGUGUCCCUUUAGAGUUUUUGAUGAUCCUCUCUCUCUCUCUCUCUCUUGUGUUCACUCUUCCCCUCAACCUUUGGAUUCUCCUCGCGACUUCUCUCUUUUGGAUUCGCCGUUGGAGACUUUAAGAACAGCUCUGCCAUUUCAUUUCUAUAGUUGCAAAAGGUAAAGACUCGAGAUCGUCUCGUGGUGGUUCAUGGUUUUAGGGUUCAAAGUUCCUAAUUUUACUGUUCAUUUGAACCAAAGUUAUCGAUGACGUCAUGCUCACACUCCAAUCUGCAUUUUAUAGAAACCUUUAGUUUUUUUUUUUUCUACUCCUCUUCUUAUUGGUUAUAGACUAUUUCAUUGCGAGUGAGUGUGUGUGUUGUUGAUUAUUUCUCUUGCUGGUUUGUUGACAGAGGAUGAGUACAGAUCUUGUUAGAGAAGAUGAUGUUGAGGAGAAUCCUUCUUCUGUCUCUUCGAGAAUGGACCUAAAACGGAUUCAUCAGUGGCUGACACAAGAAGAGUCCUCCGGUUCAGAACUAUUCAGUAAUAAGAGACAAGUGGUUGAGACUGAUAGUGGUUCCCGGACGAGUUUCUUAACUCCUCCUCUUAUGUCUGCUUGGGACAGCUCACUUGUGCCUAACUGCUUAUUCGAUCCUGCUAAUCCACAGCAUACAUCACAUCUCCUUGGUAGAUAUAUCUCUCCUGUAGACCAGGAGGUGCUUCAUGGUAGCUCAUUUAAUCUUGACACCAUUAGAAAGGUCACAGUCAAUAAUCAAGUGUGUGAAUCUCAAAACAUGCCCCAAUCCAUGCUUCAGUUUUAUGAUAGCACCCCCUCUUUUGGCCAAACCUGCAGCAGUAUUGACAAGAGCUUCACCUUGCCAGGGCCAAACUUGAGUUAUGAUAAAGGAGAUGAAAAUGUCUUCUCAACAUUCCAUCCAUUUGGGAAAGGAGUAGAAAGCUUUGCGUUGAUGGGUCAGUCUCUUCAAAAGGCUGAUUAUAACAUCUUCUCUUAUAACAAGGGACAUGAGAACGUCAUGUCUAAUGCCAAUGUUGUGUUCUCACAAGGCUGUGAGAUGGCAUUUAUGGUUCCUAGCCAAGAAAAAGCAGACAAGAACAGUGAUCAAACUAGUCAAGAGGUUAGAAGACAGACCAUAUCUUUUGGAAAUUAUCAGAAAGAAACCACAAUGGUGUCUCCAGUUCCUGUUAUUACCAGUUUUGAGAACUUCAGCCAUUCUCCUGCAGAGGACAACAUGUCUUCUCAAUAUCCUCCUUACGCCAGUACCUCUAGAGUUGAUACAUUGCUCGCCCCCAAAAGUAAAGACUCAAAGACAGCUAAGAAGGGUUCCACCACAAACACAUUUCCUUCAAAUGUAAAGUCCUUGUUGUCAACAGGAAUGUUUGAUGGGGUUACUGUCAAGUACUACUCCUGGUCACGCGAGGUCAGUCUCUUCUUUUAACCUGGAAUCAACCUUUCACCUUUACCAUGUGCUAAAAACGUUAUCUGGCAGAAAAAUCUCAAAGGAGUUAUAAAGGGGACUGGGUAUCUAUGUGGCUGCAGCGACUGUAACCUUAAUAAAGUAAGCAACGUGAUACCAACACUCUUAGAGUCAUUUACUGGCAUGUCUAUCUAAUACAAAAUCUAAUGCAACAGGUUCUUAAUGCAUAUGAGUUCGAGCAGCAUGCUAACUGCAAGACGAAGCAUCCAAACAAUCACAUAUACUUUGAGAAUGGAAAGACCAUUUAUGGAGUUGUUCAAGAGCUGAAGAAUACGCCUCAGGAGAAGCUGUUCGAUGCUAUUCAAAACGUAACGGGAUCUGAUAUCAACCGUAAAAAUUUCAACACCUGGAAAGGUAAUGUUUCGACAGAGAUAUUUUAAUUCAAUAUAGCAGCUUAAAGCAUGGCAAUACAGAACAAGAUACAAAAGUUAUUGUGUGUUAUAUUGUCUUACAGCAUCGUAUCACGUCGCUAGCCUUGAACUUCAGCGCAUCUAUGGGAAGGAUGCUGUAGUCACUUUGGCAUAGAAGUUAUCAACUGGGAGGCCUUUUUGUUGUAAGAGUAAUCAGUUCUUGUUCUCUGUAACUAUGGCUUUUAAUUAUAAAUCAGAACCUUGAAAUGCUGCUAUGAUGCCUUGUCUGGUGAGUCUAGUUCUUGGCAACUUAAUACAGCGCAUUGCUUGCUCUAGUUCUGGCCAAUUGUACUAUUAAUACUAUCAAAAAUGUUCUUCCUAUUUUUUUUUAUUAAUAGGAGUUUUAGGUAUCAGUUUAUAUGGUUCUUGCAAUAUAUAGAGAGAUAUUGCAACAAAAUCAGCAUCUCAGACAGACUCAUGAGACUGAGUUGCUGCCUUUGGGCUCGUUAACUGGUCACUAUUGAGUGAUAUGUUGUUCUUAUCAGGCUAGUUGGAAUGAUCUGUUCGUCAUUUUUUACCAGUCUUUGUCUUUGCUUUUACCACAUAGUACCAAAUAUAUUCCAAUGACAAUGACUAACACAUGCACUCUCUCCUUUGCUGUCCAUCCAAUAUCAUAGUAUGCCUUGGUCGUCUUUCAAAUAACAUAUAUCCACAAGUUCUGAAGUAGAUUUUUCUUGAAGACUACUACUUGCCCUGAACGACAAUGUGUUUCAAUAAAAUGCUCAAAAGCUCACGAGAUAAGAAAACGCUUGAGAUAAAUAAAUGGCAAAGAGAAUGGAUAAGAAUGUCACACAAGUUCAUCAGAGUUUAUCCGGUUAAUGCAAAAGGAAACACCUUGUCUAUUUCAAGGCGUGUGUUAUGUUAUAAGUACUUCACAUGAGUUGCCAAAAGUAGAUCAAAAAGAAUAAUAAAAAGGGGCUAUAGGUGGUCUAGCUUCUCCCUGAUAUUAAAUUGACAUUAGUGUACAUUUGAGGAUUAGAGCGCUGGUCUGUUUGUGUUAAAGACUCGGUGAAGGCGAGUAAAGGUUGCAACAACAAACUCUGCUUCAUCUCUUCCAACAAAGUCUUACUUGUGUCCAUACCCGCAAG